UGGGACAUGGUGUAAUGGGAACACAGCUUCUCUCCUUAUGCAGUAGGAAAACUGAAUGUAGGAGGCAGUCUAGGGUUCGAAUCCCUGUGUCCGAA